UGUGGGAGCGAGCCUGCUCGCGAAAGCGGUUUUACAGUCGACAUUUGCGGUGACUGUCAUGACCCCAUCGCGAGCAGGCUCGCUCCCACA
rnacentral:antisense_RNA from 1 species